rnacentral:rRNA from 1 species
UACGAAGGGGGCUAGCGUUGCUCGGAAUCACUGGGCGUAAAGCGUACGUAGGCGGCUUUCUAAGUCAGGGGUGAAAUCCUGGAGCUCAACUCCAGAACUGCCUUUGAUACUGGAGAGCUCGAGUCCGGGAGAGGUGAGUGGAACUCCGAGUGUAGAGGUGAAAUUCGUAGAUAUUCGGAAGAACACCAGUGGCGAAGGCGGCUCGCUGGCCCGGUACUGACGCUGAGGUACGAAAGCGUGGGGAGCAAACAGG